rnacentral:pre_miRNA from 9 species
UCUCGAUAGCGUAAGAGUUAACAUAAAUUUGUAUGGAGUUGGACGUUUGUCUACGUUUGCCGCUAGGGACGCUGCUCCGACUACAUACAAAUUUGACUUAACUUUUACGCUAUCGA